rnacentral:rRNA from 1 species
UACGGAGGUCUCAAGCGUUGUUCGGAUUCAUUGGGCGUAAAGGGUGCGCAGGCGGUUGGAAAAGUCUGAUGUGAAAUCCCGGGGCUUAACCUCGGAACUGCAUUGGAAACUGUCCGACUAGAGGACUGGAGAGGAGAUCGGAAUUCUCGGUGUAGCAGUGAAAUGCGUAGAUAUCGAGAGGAAGACCAGCGGCGUAGGCGGAUCUCUGGACAGUACCUGACGCUCAGGCACGAAGGCCGGGGGAGCAAACAGG